rnacentral:snoRNA from 1 species
CCCCUCUGAGGGUCGCACCUGGAGAGUUUCCAGUACUCUAUAAGUCUCGGCUAUGGAAAGGAGAGUCAAGCAGAGGCAUACCCAUUCCAUUCCUAGCUUGGCCAGUGGUUAGUGAGUGGAAGGCAAUCUGCUACAAGU